GACGAACGCUGGCGGCGUGCCUAAUACAUGCAAGUCGAACGCAGUGGGGACGGGUGAGUAACACGUGGGUAACCUCCCGUCAGAGGGGAUAACACGUGGAAACAGGUGCUAAACCGAUACUGAGGGAUGAACCCGCGGUGGAUUAGCUCGUUGGUGAGGUAACGGCUCACCAAGGCCACGAUGCAUAGCCGGCCUGAGAGGGUGAUCGGCCACACUGGGACUGAGACACGGCCCAGACGCCUACGGGAGGCAGCAGUAGGGAAUCUUCCGCAAUGGCCGCAAGUCUGACCGAGCCACGCCGCGUGAGUGAAGAAGGCUUUCGGCUCGUAAAGCACUGUUAUUAGAGAAGCGGUACCUAAACAGAAAGCCACGGCUAACUACGUGCCAGCAGCCGCGGUAAUUC
rnacentral:rRNA from 1 species